AGCAGUAGGAGUAGGAGUAGGAGUAGGAGUAGGAGUAGCAGUAGGAGUAGUACUACUUGUUGCUAUUGGAAGCAAGUCGUCGAUAUGACAUCGAUCUUGUCAUCGUCAAGCCACGACUAGCACUAGUAGUCAAGGCAUGGCCGCAUGGGGACCCUUUCCCGUUCCUCUGGCCGGUGGCUCAAGGAUGGGAUAAAUGUAUGUAGUUGAAUGAAGGUAUGCACUCGGCCAACUAUGUCGGAGCCGAGGGAACGAAAUUGAAUACUCAAGAUACUAUAAGUUACGAAGCAAAAAAAAAAAAAGG
rnacentral:sRNA from 1 species